AGUUCGGAUUGUAGGCUGAAACCCGCCUACAUGAAGCUGGAAUUGCUAGUAAUCAUAGGUCAGCAUACUAUGGUGAAUACGUUCCCGGGCCUUGUACACACCGCCCGUCACACCAUGAGAGUUGAGAAUACCCGAAGUCCAUGUCAAAGUGGCCGAAGGUAGGCUUGAUGAUUGGGGUGAAGUCGUAACAAGGUAGC
rnacentral:rRNA from 1 species